GGGAACGAUGAAUAAUCGACAAUAUCAGGAAUUCCUCAUUCUGAAGACGCAAUGUAGAUUCCGUCAUUUAGUUUCAGCCUUGUCUGACC
rnacentral:snoRNA from 1 species